rnacentral:rRNA from 1 species
AUACGUAGGGAGCGAGCGUUGUCCGGAAUUACUGGGUGUAAAGGGAGCGUAGGCGGGACGGCAAGUCAGAUGUGAAAUACAUGGGCUCAACCCAUGGGCUGCAUUUGAAACUGCUGUUCUUGAGUGAAGUAGAGGUAAGCGGAAUUCCUGGUGUAGCGGUGAAAUGCGUAGAUAUCAGGAGGAACACCGGUGGCGAAGGCGGCUUACUGGGCUUUUACUGACGCUGAGGCUCGAAAGCGUGGGGAGCAAACAGGAUUAGAUACCCUGGUAGUCCACGCUGUAAACGAUGAUCACUAGGUGUGGGGGGACUGACCCCUUCCGUGCCGCAGUUAACACAAUAAGUGAUCCACCUGGGGAGUACGGCCGCAAGGUUGUAACUCAAAUGAAUUGACGGGG